GACGAACGCUGGCGGCGUGCUUAACACAUGCAAGUCGAACGGAAAGGCCCUGCUUGCAGGGUACUCGAGUGGCGAACGGGUGAGUAACACGUGGGUGAUCUGCCCUGCACUUCGGGAUAAGCCUGGGAAUCUGGGUCUAAUACCGGAUAGGAGCCAUUUUUAGUGUGAUGGUUGGAAAGUUUUUUCGGUGUAGGAUGAGCUCGCGGCCUAUCAGCUUGUUGGUGGGGUAAUGGCCUACCAAGGCGGCGACGGGUAGCCGGCCUGAGAGGGUGGACGGCCACAUUGGGACUGAGAUACGGCCCAGACUCCUACGGGAGGCAGCAGUGGGGAAUAUUGCACAAUGGGCGCAAGCCUGAUGCAGCGACGCCGCGUGGGGGAUGACGGCCUUCGGGUUGUAAACUCCUUUCGCUAGGGACGAAGCUUUUUGUGACGGUACCUAGAGAAGAAGCACCGGCUAACUACGUG
rnacentral:rRNA from 1 species